rfam:Flavobacterium frigoris PS1 66_4, whole genome shotgun sequence.
GUUUUGCGUGAGGGAUAGUAGUGAAAAUCCUCCCGAUUUUUUUUCGGGAGAUUGUAACGGAUAGCCCGACCUUGU